UGGGGAAUUUUGGACAAUGGGCGAAAGCCUGAUCCAGCAAUGCCGCGUGUGUGAAGAAGGCCUUCGGGUUGUAAAGCACUUUUGUCCGGAAGGAAAUCCUUGGCUCUAAUACAGUCGGGGGAUGACGGUACCGGAAGAAUAAGCACCGGCUAACUACGUGCCAGCAGCCGCGGUAAUACGUAGGGUGCAAGCGUUAAUCGGAAUUACUGGGCGUAAAGCGUGCGCAGGCGGUUUGCUAAGACCGAUGUGAAAUCCCCGGGCUCAACCUGGGAACUGCAUUGGUGACUGGCAGGCUAGAGUAUGGCAGAGGGGGGUAGAAUUCCACGUGUAGCAGUGAAAUGCGUAGAGAUGUGGAGGAAUACCGAUGGCGAAGGCAGCCCCCUGGGCCAAUACUGACGCUCAUGCACGAAAGCGUGGGGAGCAAAACAGGAUUAGAUACCCUGGUAGUCCACGCCCUAAACGAUGUCAACUAGUUGUUGGGGAUUCAUUUCCUUAGUAACGUAGCUAACGCGUGAAGUUGACCGCCUGGGGAGUACGGUCGCAAGAUUAAAACUCAAA
rnacentral:rRNA from 1 species